GAUGAAGAACGUAGCGAAAUACGAUAAGUAAUGUGAAUUGCAGAAUUCAGUGAAUCAUCGAGUCUUUGAACGCACAUUGCGCCCCCUGGUAUUCCGGGGGGCAUGCCUGUCCGAGCGUCAUUGCCGCCCUCAAGCACGGCUUGUGUGUUGGGCCCCCGCCCCCCGGCUUCGGGGGGCGGGCCCGAAAGGCAGCGGCGGCACCGCGUCCGGUCCUCGAGCGUAUGGGGCUUCGUCACCCGCUCUGUAGGCCCGGCCGGCGCCCGCCGGCGACCCCAAUCAAUCUUUCCAGGUUGCCCUCGGAUCAGGUAGGGAUACCCGCUGAACUUAAGCAUCUCAAUAAGCGGAGGA
rnacentral:misc_RNA from 1 species